UGGAGAAAUCAACCACUCAGCAGCUUUCCAGUCCCCAAGGCACCUGGGGCCAGAGCCAGCAGUAGGUCAGUGGUCACAAGCCUGGUUACAAAGUCGGUGACCUCCAGCUCCCUGGAGACCCUGACUGCCCCAGUUCCGGACCAGAGAGAAAAGGGGGAGAGUCACCACGCCCAGCCUCCCUUCAGGCAGACAGAUAGAUGGCCUAAUAACACAGGCUGGCCUGAAGUACCUCCUUCAGUGGAUGGAGCUCCCAUGGGACGCAGGACAGCAGCAGUGUAGAGCCUUGGGCACAGGGCUCAGGCACGGUGGAGAGUACCUGACACCAGCAUAGACGGCCUUGGCUCCCAGGCAGCACCAAUCAGCCCUUCUCCCGGAUCUUGGUGAAGUGUUGCAGUGCCGUGUAACCGCGAACAACAGCUCGCUACACUCCUGGAGAGAAGAUCCAGCACCCGCCCGGCAGUCACACCCAAGUUCAGCUGAUCCAGAUGUUUCGUACAGAGUGAGCACCUAGGCAGCUGGUGCCAGUCACCUGGCAUCGCCGUGAGAACAGUCUGCGUGCCUGCCUGGACUCUGGGGCACCUCUGGAGGGCUUAAACAAACGAGAGAGGAAGAAGGGGCUGUUACAGAGACCAAGUGAAGAAUGGGAAGGCCUGACUUAGACCUGGGACAUGCCGGUCCCACCUUUGCCUCACUCCUAUGACCGGGUGCUCAGGAUCCUGGUGUGUGUGUGUGUGUGUGUGUGUGCGCGCGCGCGCACGCGCGUGCGUGCGCGAGCACUGAGCUCUUUCUCUUUGGGCUUUUUUGUUUGUUUGUUUUAACCAAGAGAUUGCUGUGACCCAAAUCUUCACUAACACAGUAGCCACAAGCCACACGUGGCCGUUUAAGCCUAGAUAAAUCAAGAUGGAAAGGUAAGUGAACCCUGCAGUUGUAGAAGGCAUGAUUUUAACCACACAAUAGCCACAUGUGGUUAGCGGCUCCUCAAAUCAUUGCCACCAUGGCAGAAAGGCUCAGCGGACAGUGCUGGUGUGGAGGGAGCCCAGUCGGGAUCCAGAUGGUGUGGCCCACAGUGACCUCCCGUCCAGGCCAACGCCACCAUCUUCUGUGUGGGGUAGCAGCCGCACUCAGAGAGGGAAACUGCUGACAGUUUCUCUGCUCUACAGGGGCCGGUCUUCAAGGAGAGAAUAUGGGGAUGACGAGGGCUCAAAACCACCUCAGAGUGAGUCUAGCUGGCUCUGCAGGCCCCAAGAAAGAAGAGAGUGUCCCAGCAAGGAUGCCUUCAGGACUGGCCCAUGCCUGCAGGAGGAAACUAAGGGGGGGAUUUGUCAUGUGGCGUGUGGCGUGUGACUCUCACUCUGGGAAUCCCCAACAGGUGGAACCAGGAAUGCUUCUUUGCCAUUCGAUGCCUGGUGCUCCCUGGUGUCAUUGCUCAGUGUCUUGGGCCGGAGCCCAUUUACUAGGCCUCUGCCAUUGCCCACCUCAGGGCACACGCGAACCAGAGGGCGUUCUCUGCAGUUGCGAGUUAGAUCCGCCAGAGGGCGCAGGGGCAGCUGUCACUGCUACAAGCCGGCCAGGCGUUGGGGACUGCUCCACUCCAGUAGGAAUCAGCUAGACGCCCAGUGGGGGACCCUGAGCUCUUCUGCUCCCUCUUCGGGGAAGGGGAUUAGGUUAAGAGGGCAGAGGCAGCAUAAUGGCUUCCCUGGGUCUGCACGGAAGGACCUGAAGGCUAGGGAGGUAGGAGUGUGCCUGCCAGUCAAAGACACAGGUUUGGAGGCCAGAGGAGAGACAUCCAACAGUCUCUCUGUACCAUGAGGUGACAUAACAGGUGGCCGGCGUCUCAGUGCUUGUCUACCCUUCUGUUCCUAUCCUGGGCCGCUUUCCUGUCCUCAGAUGACAAGAGGGAGGUGUUUCUGAACAGCAAGUCUUUCUGCUCUAGUAAACCCAACUCGGUGGGUCCCUCUGCA